AUCAACGCUGGCGGCGUGCCUAAUGCAUGCAAGUCGAACGUGGCCCUUUCGGGGUGCGCGUGGCGGACGUGUGAGGAACACGUGGGGAACCUGCCUUUUGGUGGGGGGUAGCCCCCGGAAACGGGGGGUAAUUCCGCAUGAGCUCAGGUCACGGUGGGUGAUCUGAGGAAAGGCUCUUCGGAGUCGCCGAAAGAGGGUCCUGCGGCCGAUUAGCUAGACGGUGGGGUAACGGCCUACCGUGGCGAUGAUCGGUAGCGGGUCUGAGAGGACGGCCAGCCACAGGGGAACUGAGACACGGUCCCCACUCCUACGGGAGGCAGCAGCAAGGAAUUUUCCGCAAUGGGCGAAAGCCUGACGGAGCAACGCCGCGUGGGGGAAGACACCUUUCGGGGCGUAAACCCCUUUUCUGCGGGAUGAAGCAUGACAGUACCGCAGGAAGAAGGCCCGGCUAACUACGU
rnacentral:rRNA from 1 species